rnacentral:rRNA from 1 species
GAUGAACGCUGGCGGCGCGCCUAACACAUGCAAGUCGAACGAUUAAAGCACCUUCGGGUGUGUAUAAAGUGGCGAACGGCUGAGUAACACGUGGGCAACCUGCCCCUCUCAUUGGGAUAGCCACGGGAAACCGUGGAUAAUACCGAAUACUUCGGGACUUCCGCAUGGAAGACUCGAGAAAGCUCCGGCGUGGAGGGAUGGGCCCGCGGCCUGUUAGCUUGUUGGUGGGUAAUGGCCUACCAAGGCAAUGAUGGGUAGCUGGGUUGAGAGACCGACCAGCCAGAUUGGGACUGAGACACGGCCCAGACUCCUACGGGAGGCAGCAGUGGGGAAUCUUGCACAAUGGGCGAAAGCCUGAUGCAGCGACGCCGCGUGCGGGAUGAAGGCCUUCGGGUUGUAAACCGCUUUCAGCAGGGACGAGGCGAAAGUGACGGUACCUGCAGAAGAAGCCCCGGCUAACUACGUG